CCGAAAUUUACCACUACACAGUGUUUCUGUUUAUAACUGCGGUUGAAGUAAAUAUGAAGCAAAAGUUUUGCUUAUUUAAGUGAAAUUGUAUAUAUUCAGUUUUAAUCACAUAAAGAAGGUAUCUGCAUAAUGAGCUGUCAUGAACCUUACGUGAAUGAAUAUAGACAACUAUUCAUGUUUACAUUCCAAUGAAUAAGUUUAUGAUUAAAGUGGCAUUUGACGUUCUUUUUAAGAACUGUAUGUCCUAAUCAGCUGAAAAGUCAUGGGGUUAUCUGACAAGCCUGCAUUAGAAAAAAAGUUGCUUGAAAAUAUUCAGAAUGAUUUAAGAGCACUUGCUGUAGAAGCAAGAAAACGAUACCCUCAUUUGAAAGAAG